rnacentral:misc_RNA from 1 species
AAGUCGUAACAAGGUUUCCGUAGGUGAACCUGCGGAAGGAUCAUUAAAGAAACUUCGCCUCCGGGCGGAGUCCUUCUAAACCCGUGUCUACCUUACCUUUGUUGCUUUGGCGGGCCGCCUUCGGGCGUCGGCUCCGGCUGACAGCGCCCGCCAGAGGACCCAACUCUUUUGUUUAGUGAUGUCUGAGUACUAUAUAAUAGUUAAAA